rnacentral:rRNA from 1 species
UACGUAGGGAGCAAGCGUUGUCCGGAAUCAUUGGGCGUAAAGCGCGCGUAGGUGGCCCCAUAAGUCCGCUGUGAAAGUCAAAGGCUCAACCUUUGAAAGCCGGUGGAUACUGUGGGACUAGAGUACGGAAGAGGCGAGUGGAAUUCCUGGUGUAGCGGUGGAAUGCGCAGAUAUCAGGAGGAACACCAAUAGCGAAGGCAGCUCGCUGGGACGGUACUGACACUGAGGCGCGAAAGCGUGGGGAGCGAACAGG